rnacentral:lncRNA from 1 species
GGGUAAAGAAAAUAAAAGAGGUAAGGAGGGUGUUAGAAGUUCCCAGGGAUCGAGAGCACCUUGGAGGAAUCUCCAGAAUCCAUUGUGUGAGGUUAUGAUGUCAGUCCUGAGGUCACAGAGGUGACCUGAUGGAGUAGGUUCCGGCCCAGAAGGCCUCAGGGGUGGCUGUGAAGCAAGAUGAGGGCGGUUUGGAGCCCUGCAUAAGAAGGAGGACGGGGCCACAGAUGAUUGGUAUGUAUUCCCCAGACUGGGCCCUUCUUCCUAUCUUCGCCCCAUCAUUCAUCAACUGAUGGCCUUUUCCCCAGGGCCCCAGAUUUACCUUCCCUGAUCCCAACAUCUCUUAAUCUCAUAUUCCUCCAAAAAUGUCCACUCCCAGAGACUUCAUGGCCCCUUCUAUGUACACCCUGCAGCUUCCCCUUCCCUGAGGCCCAAGACCCUCUUCAUCCUCACCUUUCCUACUUAACAUCACUGCCUGAAAGGAUGAUCUUGGUCUUCCAUCUCCAUUCCCUCAGCUGUGUCCCCACAGACCUGGGACUCCUGCUGCCAACCAUGGCCAAAAGUGGAGAGGCUCUGCCACAGGGCAGCCCAGCGCCAGUCCAGGACCCCCACCUCAUCAAGGUGACAGUGAAGACGCCCAAGGACAAGGAGGAUUUCUCAGUUACAGACACAUGUACCAUCCAGCAGUUGAAGGAAGAGAUAUCUCAGCGCUUUAAGGCCCACCCUGAUCAGCUGGUCCUAAUAUUUGCUGGCAAAAUCCUUAAGGACCCUGAUUCAUUGGCACAGUGUGGAGUACGAGAUGGCCUCACCGUUCACCUGGUCAUCAAGAUGCAGCGCCGUGCCAUGGGCCCUGAGUGCCCAGCUGCCUCAGUCCCUUCUCCAGGCCCAAGUCAUGGAUCACUCCCUCAGCCAAGCUCCAUUUAUCCCACAGAUGGGCCACCCACCUUCAGUUUAGGUGUCCUCGCAGGCCUCAAUGGGCUGGGUCUGACCUCUGGUAGCUUCCCUGACCAGCCAAACUCACUGAUGUGGCAGCAUGUAUCAGUGCCUGAAUUUGUGGCUCAGCUAAUUGAUGACCCCUUCAUCCAGGGUCUGCUGUCCAAUACGGGCCUGGUGCCCCAGCUGGUUCUUGACAAUCCUCAUAUACAGCAGCUAAUCCAGCACAACCCUGAGAUUGGGCAUAUUCUCAACAACCCUGAAAUCAUGCGGCAGACGCUGGAGUUUCUACGUAACCCUGCCAUGAUGCAAGAGAUGAUGCGUAGCCAGGAUAGGGCUCUCAGUAACCUGGAGAGCAUCCCUGGUGGCUACAAUGUGCUUCGCACCGUGUACACAGAUAUUAUGGACCCAAUGCUUAAUGCGGUACAGGAGCAGUUUGGUGGAAACCCUUUUGCCACAACCACAACUACUAAUUCCACCAGCAGCAGCAACCAACCUUCAAGGACAGAGAAUUGUGACCCUCUCCCCAACCCCUGGACUUCCACAUAUGGAGGUUCAGGGGCCAGGCGAGGAAGGCAGUCUGGGGAUCAGGAUGCAUCUGAAAUUAGAAGUAGGGUCCCAAACUUUCUGGGUAACAUAGGACUCUAUGAUUAUCUCCAGCAAUUACAUGAGACCCCCCAGUCCCUGGGAACAUAUCUUCAGGGAACUGCAUCCACUCUAAGCCCAAGGCAGGAACCUCCAUCACCAGGAAACAGAAUUCCCCCAACUUCAUCCUCAUCCCAGGAACCUGGAUCAGGACAGCCUCUCCCCAAGCAGUCAGUAACAAUCAAGGGAAAGUCCUCCUGUCCAGCUUUCCUGAGAUAUCCCUCAGAGAGUAGUACUGGACAAGGUAGAGGCCAAGACGGUACAGGGAAGGAUUCUACUAACCACAACACCAGCAUGCCUGAUCUUGUGUCUGGGCUUGGCGAUUCUGCCAACAGGGCUCCAUUUGGUCCUUCACCACCUUCCCCUAUGACAACCACUGCUGGAGUCCCUGAGCCUCCUUGGAUGCCACCACCAGGAUAUCCAAGAUUUCUGAGGCCUGCUGGCUUGAAUCAUGCCCCCCAUUUGCAGGAUGAGAUACAUCAGCAGCUACCUUUAUUGCUGCAUCUUCAGGCAGCCAUGGCCAACCCUCGUGCCAUGCAAGCCCUGCUGCAGAUUGAGCAAGGUCUGCAGAUCCUGGCAACUGAAGCACCUCGUCUCCUGCUCUGGUUCAUGCCUUGCCUAGCGGGGCUGGGCGGUAUGGCAGGAGGGACAGAGUCUAGAGAAGGUGGCUUUAUGUCUGAGGAUCCCCGCCCAGCUCCAGCCCCUCAGGUUUCCCCAGCACAGGGUUCUUCAGAAUUAGGCUUCCAUUCCACUCCCUUUCUCCAGAUGUUGCAAGCCUUAGCUAAUGCCAGUCCCCAACAGCUACAGCCUGAGGCUCACUUCCGGGCACAACUGGAGCAACUUCGGGCCAUGGGCUUUCUGAACCCUGAAGCCAAUCUUCAGGCCCUCAUUGCCACAGGGGGUGAUGUAGAUGCUGCUGUGGAAAAGCUGAGGCAGUCGUAGCAGCUUUAGUUGUUCAGACCAUAUCUUUUCCUCUGUGCCUUUUCCCCAUAUCCUAUUACCCUAGCUCUCCCAUUCUUGAAUACAACUGCAAUAUAAACCAAAUUUACUAUGAUGCCCUUUACUGUGGAGACAUUGUUGUUCCAGAGUUGAUGGAAGAAUAAGAGCCAGAAAUAGGGUGGGGGAAAUGUGUGUGAUCCAGCUACCCCCAACACUGGACUACCAUGGGGCCCCCAUCUGAGCUCGGUGUAUGCCUGUCUUGAGAUGCAAUUACAUUCAAUCUCCAGUGUUAGCCACCGUUUGAGUCUGAUUCUUGUGGGAGAUGAAAACAGGGGAGAAUAUGGGAGAAAAGCUAGCAAUAAGUGCUAUCUCUAUGAAUGGAAGGACUUAGAGAGGAAAGAAAGCACAACGUUUGGAUUUAGAAGAGUCAGGCAUGGCAUGGAGUCAGAGGAGGGAAUAUUACUGCAGCCCUAUGAAGACUGAGUCCUGAGACUUUCCUGGUAUCUUUCCAGAAGCCUUACAGAUUAUAUGUCCUGUAGUAGCUGCCAUCGAGUUACCUGCAUUUUAGGGCUCCCUACCACCACCUGGCUGAAGAAUCAACAUGGUUUGUUCCCAGUCCCUGAAGACUAUCCCCCAGAUGGCUGGCUGUCAUUUUCAGGAGUUAAUUCUGAUCCCUGAGUGCAUAGACGUAGAGCAUGAGGAAUCAGGCUGAAUUCUCUAGUGAAUCUCAACUAGUUUAUAAUGUCCCUUGCAGUCAGAUUCAGAGACUUGAUUUCUUGCCAAAAAAAAAAAAAAAUCUAAUACAUACCCUGUGCAUAGUAUCUGCUAGCUGUUAGGAAUUCACUGUGCAUAAAAGGGACACAAUCCUGCCCUCAUGAGUUUAUGAGAUUGUGGCAGGAGCUGUUCUAACUGAAUAUAUGAAUACUCAUUAUUCAUCAUUAUGGAUUUUGACAAGGGGCUGUGAAAUAGCAUUGAUGGACUUGUUGUUAGUUUAGUCUGGGGGCUACACUGAGUGUAUACUCAGGGCUAACCCUUGACAAGUGGUAAGGGGGAAGUAGGAAAACUUGGAAGGGGGACUGAAGAGAAGAACCAUAUGUAUAAAGGCACUAAGUAGGAGGUACAUAACACAGGAGGUGCCUCUGGCACCUAAAUUAUUUUUCAUAUUCAGAAAUAUUUCCCAUUGCCCAUGUACUUCUAUGUUAAAGUAUUAUAACUCCUAAAACAAUCAAGGGAACAAUGUUUUCCACAUAAUAUGCCAGAGAACACAAAUUACUAAGAAAUGCACAGAUGUGCUUUUUUAAAAAAGAGUAUUAUAUCUCUUUAAAUAUGUUUUCAUAUGAGCAUAUUUUAUACACACAUUUACACACAUGUAUAAGAAAAAAACCCCAGAGUCUGAUAGAUUUAAAACAGAGUGUAAGAAUAAGAAGUAUUCAUGCUGUGUUAUAGAAGAAAAAGGGUCCUUGAUGCGAGGGUACCAUUAUAGUAAAAGUGUCUGGGGGUAUGUUUAAGUAUCAGAGUCCCAUUGUGUCACCCUUCCAUAAGCUGAAGAGAGCAAUCUCCCCUUGGAGCCCAGGGUAUUUAGACAAGCCUGUCUACCUUUGAGAUUCUGGCAUGUGGCUUAAAGGAAAUGAGACAAACUUUUGGGACAAAUUUAUCCCAGUGACUUAGGUUUCAAUCUCUUGGUGAGGCAUGAAUCUUUAAGGUCUCUAUUUCUUACUCUGCUCCCCAUCAAAGUGGAAAUUCUUGUCCUAAUCAAAAGCACUGAUUCUUGGGGAAAAGAAGAGGAAAGCCUUCUUUUUCAUCUGGGGCUGUGUCUAAAUGGGGAAGAUGUACAAUGCCACCCAUACUUUUCAUCAUUUGGAGAGGGCCAAGUAGAUCUGAGAAACUUCAUGGAAAGAAAUUUUAUUGUUCUUACCUGACUUCCAUUUGGGCCAGCAACCUGAAGUCUCAUACGACCUUAAACUCAGCUUUCCAGGAUGGUCUGCAGGUAGGCUAGGUCUGAAAGACCUGGCAGGGAGGAGAGUGUUAUUUUAGUAGAUUUUUCUCUUGUUAUAUCCUCUUUAAAAAUACUAACACAUAUUAAGUGUACAUAUUAAUGGGGUUCAGUGAAAUAUUUCCAUACCUGAAAACAGUGUGAGCUGAUCAAAUCCAACCAUCCUUUUUUGCUCCCCUUGUCCCCACAGACAUCCAUGUGGUUGGGGAGAUUGGGUAAAUAGGACCAGAAUUUGUGGCUGGAAGAAUAAAGACUGUUGGAAUUUUGAGGAGAAGGGAUCCCUGCAUGCUGAUAUCACUCAAAGUGCCGGUCACCUGGGACUUGUGCCGGUCACCUGGGACUUCUCAUCUGUUGUUCCUGCUCUAACUCUAGCACUCUGUCGGCAGAAGUCUAAGACCAAGUAUCUGUUCUUGGCAUGGGAGUUGUGUAGGUGGAGAAGACAGUCUCAGAGAGCUUUGGUCAUACUGGGCAUAGUGCCUGGCUCCUUCCAAAGAAAUCUUACCCUUUUUCUGACCAAGAAAUUUGCUAGAAAGCAAACACACAAACGUGUGCACAUGUGCAUGCAUACACACACACACAAACACACAAACACACAAACACACAAACACACACACACACCAAAGAGACUGAUUCAAUCUACAUUGUUAAUCUGCAUCACAAGUAGCUAGAGAGGUGGACUGCAGUUUAAGAGGAAGGUAUUAUUCAGAUAAUGGGAAAUGUGUGUAUGUAUUCAUAUUCUUUCCUUUUAAAACAUGUUCUAAUAUUUCCAUCAUAAAUAUGUACACAUAUUUUCUAGAUGUUUUAAGUUCUUACUACUUAAGUUGUAUUUUAAUAGCAGCUAGCAGAUAUUUAGAGUUUAUUGUAUGUCAGGCCCUAUUAAACUCUCUAAGUCAGAUUUCAUAUAACAGUCCUUUAGUGCAGUUAAUAUUAUUAUGCCCAAUUUACAAAGAGGAAAGCUGAGGAAUAUGAUGAAGGGAAAUACUUUGCUUAAAUUUAUAAAAAUUUUUCAUAUUAGAGCCAGGACUUAAAAUUUCCAAAGCUUAUGUUGUUUACAGUGGUACCAAAACAAAUUAGUCUGUGCUUUAAUCCAUAUUCCCCCAAAAGUGGAUCAGGAGAGGAUUUGUAGCAUUUAAUUGAAAUUUUUGGACACUUGACUCCUGCAAAUACCAUAUCCUACAUAUGUAUGUAUGUGUAUUUCUGCUUCUUUGCUUUUUAUUUUAUCUAUUAGUACUAUACUUCAAUUAUUUUAACAUUAAAAUAUUUAAUUUACAAAGGCCCAGUGCUUAAGUCAUUAUUCUUCUGUGAAAUACCAUUGAUUAAUUUUGUCUUUAUUUUUCCAAAUUUUCUUUUUUUCUAAUAUUUAUUUAUUUAUUUUUUAGUUUUUGGCAGACACAACAUCUUUGUUUGUAUGUGGUGCUGAGGAUCGAACCCGGGCCGCACGCAUGCCAGACGAGCACGCUACCGCUUGAGCCACAUCUCCAGCCCCAUAUUUAUUUUUUAGUUUUCGGCGGACACAACAUCUUUGUUUGUAUGUGGUCCUGAGGAUCGAACCCGGGCCGCACGAAUGCCAGGCCGCAUGCAUGCCAGGCGAGCGCGCUACCGCUUGAGCCACAUCCCCAGCCAAAAUUUUUUUUUUAAUAUUUAUUUUUUAGUUUUUUUUCGGUGGACACAACAUCUUUAUUUUAUUUUUUUUUUUUAUGUGGUGUUGAGAAUCGAACCUAGCACCCUGCGCAUGCCAGGCGAGCGUGCUACCGCUUGAGCCACAUCCCCCCAAAUUUUCUUUAUAGCAGAUAUCAGAUUUCAGAAAAGCUCAAAUGAGCUUUUGAUUGGCUUUCCUACACAUAUAAAUUAGAAGAAAAUUGAGAAAUUUACAAUAGACAGUCUUUCCUCUCAGAGUAGAGAAUGUUUCCAUCAAUUCAGGCUUUAUUUGUCCUCUAUAAAGCAUUGUAGCUUCUUCAUUGAAUUCUGACAUAUUUGGGUUUAUUUAAGCACACAUUAUAAUUCUUAUUUUGAGUAGAGUUUUUUUCCACUAUGUAUUCUGCAUGGUAUUACUGCUGUGGUGAAAUUGUCCUGUCUCCAGUUACAGUAUGAAUUCUUUGUGUAGACAGACAUUGUGCUGAUUUUUAUGCAAGUAAUGAAUGCAUCUUUGAUAAAGGUUUAGUCUCUACUCUUCUAAUAAUUUAUUUAUGUAAAUGUCAAUUGUAGAUAAAAUACAUAAGUAAAAUAAGAUAUUAUAAAAAAAUAAUUUCACUACCAGACAGCACUAUUAAAACAAUGAUGUUUGGCUUUCCACAUAGUUUAAUAAAUCUGCCCUUUUAACUUGAUAAUGCAUCAUGAAACUUUCUAAGUUAUUAAGCAGCCUUUUUCAAUUUAUUAAUUAUUUUCUGAAUACUUUUUAUAUGCCAUAAACUGUGCUUGGUGUUAGGAAUACAAUGGUAAGCAGAGAGAUAUUCUCUAAGAAAUUUACAAUUUAAGGGAAUUGAUAGACCUCAGAAGUAACAGUUAACUCUUAUAGAGUGCUCACUUAAGAACUAGGCACUAUUGUACCACCUUUACAAUAUUAACUCAUUUAAUUCUUAUUGUAAGUCUAUAAAGCAGGCACUAUUAUUAUAUGUAUUUUACAGAUGAGUAGCUAAUGCAGGGCAAGGUCUAGACCACGAUUACACAGCUAGUAACUGAUGGAGCUGGAGUCAGGAUUUGAGCCAAUCUUUCUAGAGAUUACAUUUUUUUUUUUUUUUUUUUUGAGACAGGGUCUUACUAUGUUNCAGGGGAGAAUAUGGGAGAAAAGCUAGCAAUAAGUGCUAUCUCUAUGAAUGGAAGGACUUAGAGAGGAAAGAAAGCACAACGUUUGGAUUUAGAAGAGUCAGGCAUGGCAUGGAGUCAGAGGAGGGAAUAUUACUGCAGCCCUAUGAAGACUGAGUUCUGAGACUUUCCUGGUAUCUUUCCAGAAGCCUUACAGAUUAUAUGUCCUGUAGUAGCUGCCAUCGAGUUACCUGCAUUUUAGGGCUCCCUACCACCACCUGGCUGAAGAAUCAACAUGGUUUGUUCCCAGUCCCUGAAGACUAUCCCCCAGAUGGCUGGCUGUCAUUUUCAGGAGUUAAUUCUGAUCCCUGAGUGCAUAGACGUAGAGCAUGAGGAAUCAGGCUGAAUUCUCUAGUGAAUCUCAACUAGUUUAUAAUGUCCCUUGCAGUCAGAUUCAGAGACUUGAUUUCUUGCCAAAAAAAAAAAAAAAAAUCUAAUACAUACCCUGUGCAUAGUAUCUGCUAGCUGUUAGGAAUUCACUGUGCAUAAAAGGGACACAAUCCUGCCCUCAUGAGUUUAUGAGAUUGUGGCAGGAGCUGUUCUAACUGAAUAUAUGAAUACUCAUUAUUCAUCAUUAUGGAUUUUGACAAGGGGCUGUGAAAUAGCAUUGAUGGACUUGUUGUUAGUUUAGUCUGGGGGCUACACUGAGUGUAUACUCAGGGCUAACCCUUGACAAGUGGUAAGGGGGAAGUAGGAAAACUUGGAAGGGGGACUGAAGAGAAGAACCAUAUGUAUAAAGGCACUAAGUAGGAGGUACAUAACACAGGAGGUGCCUCUGGCACCUAAAUUAUUUUUCAUAUUCAGAAAUAUUUCCCAUUGCCCAUGUACUUCUAUGUUAAAGUAUUAUAACUCCUAAAACAAUCAAGGGAACAAUGUUUUCCACAUAAUAUGCCAGAGAACACAAAUUACUAAGAAAUGCACAAAUGUGCUUUUUUAAAAAAGAGUAUUAUAUCUCUUUAAAUAUGUUUUCAUAUGAGCAUAUUUUAUACACACAUUUACACACAUGUAUAAGAAAAAAACCCCAGAGUCUGAUAGAUUUAAAACAGAGUGUAAGAAUAAGAAGUAUUCAUGCUGUGUUAUAGAAGAAAAAGGGUCCUUGAUGCGAGGGUACCAUUAUAGUAAAAGUGUCUGGGGGUAUGUUUAAGUAUCAGAGUCCCAUUGUGUCACCCUUCCAUAAGCUGAAGAGAGCAAUCUCCCCUUGGAGCCCAGGGUAUUUAGACAAGCCUGUCUACCUUUGAGAUUCUGGCAUGUGGCUUAAAGGAAAUGAGACAAACUUUUGGGACAAAUUUAUCCCAGUGACUUAGGUUUCAAUCUCUUGGUGAGGCAUGAAUCUUUAAGGUCUCUAUUUCUUACUCUGCUCCCCAUCAAAGUGGAAAUUCUUGUCCUAAUCAAAAGCACUGAUUCUUGGGGAAAAGAAGAGGAAAGCCUUCUUUUUCAUCUGGGGCUGUGUCUAAAUGGGGAAGAUGUACAAUGCCACCCAUACUUUUCAUCAUUUGGAGAGGGCCAAGUAGAUCUGAGAAACUUCAUGGAAAGAAAUUUUAUUGUUCUUACCUGACUUCCAUUUGGGCCAGCAACCUGAAGUCUCAUACGACCUUAAACUCAGCUUUCCAGGAUGGUCUGCAGGUAGGCUAGGUCUGAAAGACCUGGCAGGGAGGAGAGUGUUAUUUUAGUAGAUUUUUCUCUUGUUAUAUCCUCUUUAAAAAUACUAACACAUAUUAAGUGUACAUAUUAAUGGGGUUCAGUGAAAUAUUUCCAUACCUGAAAACAGUGUGAGCUGAUCAAAUCCAACCAUCCUUUUUUGCUCCCCUUGUCCCCACAGACAUCCAUGUGGUUGGGGAGAUUGGGUAAAUAGGACCAGAAUUUGUGGCUGGAAGAAUAAAGACUGUUGGAAUUUUGAGGAGAAGGGAUCCCUGCAUGCUGAUAUCACUCAAAGUGCCGGUCACCUGGGACUUGUGCCGGUCACCUGGGACUUCUCAUCUGUUGUUCCUGCUCUAACUCUAGCACUCUGUCGGCAGAAGUCUAAGACCAAGUAUCUGUUCUUGGCAUGGGAGUUGUGUAGGUGGAGAAGACAGUCUCAGAGAGCUUUGGUCAUACUGGGCAUAGUGCCUGGCUCCUUCCAAAGAAAUCUUACCCUUUUUCUGACCAAGAAAUUUGCUAGAAAGCAAACACACAAACGUGUGCACAUGUGCAUGCAUACACACACACACAAACACACAAACACACAAACACACACACACACCAAAGAGACUGAUUCAAUCUACAUUGUUAAUCUGCAUCACAAGUAGCUAGAGAGGUAGACUGCAGUUUAAGAGGAAGGUAUUAUUCAGAUAAUGGGAAAUGUGUGUAUGCAUUCAUAUUCUUUCCUUUUAAAACAUGUUCUAAUAUUUCCAUCAUAAAUAUGUACACAUAUUUUCUAGAUGUUUUAAGUUCUUACUACUUAAGUUGUAUUUUAAUAGCAGCUAGCAGAUAUUUAGAGUUUAUUGUAUGUCAGGCCCUAUUAAACUCUCUAAGUCAGAUUUCAUAUAACAGUCCUUUAGUGCAGUUAAUAUUAUUAUGCCCAAUUUACAAAGAGGAAAGCUGAGGAAUAUGAUGAAGGGAAAUACUUUGCUUAAAUUUAUAAAAAUUUUUCAUAUUAGAGCCAGGACUUAAAAUUUCCAAAGCUUAUGUUGUUUACAGUGGUACCAAAACAAAUUAGUCUGUGCUUUAAUCCAUAUUCCCCCAAAAGUGGAUCAGGAGAGGAUUUGUAGCAUUUAAUUGAAAUUUUUGGACACUUGACUCCUGCAAAUACCAUAUCCUACAUAUGUAUGUAUGUGUAUUUCUGCUUCUUUGCUUUUUAUUUUAUCUAUUAGUACUAUACUUCAAUUAUUUUAACAUUAAAAUAUUUAAUUUACAAAGGCCCAGUGCUUAAGUCAUUAUUCUUCUGUGAAAUACCAUUGAUUAAUUUUGUCUUUAUUUUUCCAAAUUUUCUUUAUAGCAGAUAUCAGAUUUCAGAAAAGCUCAAAUGAGCUUUUGAUUGGCUUUCCUACACAUAUAAAUUAGAAGAAAAUUGAGAAAUUUACAAUAGACAGUCUUUCCUCUCAGAGUAGAGAAUGUUUCCAUCAAUUCAGGUUUUAUUUGUCCUCUAUAAAGCAUUGUAGCUUCUUCAUUGAAUUCUGACAUAUUUGGGUUUAUUUAAGCACACAUUAUAAUUCUUAUUUUGAGUAGAGUUUUUUUCCACUAUGUAUUCUGCAUGGUAUUACUGCU